AUAACUAGUUGUGGGUAACGGCUCACCAAGGCGACGAUCCCUAGCUGGUCUGAGAGGAUGACCAGCCACACUGGAACUGAGACACGGUCCAGACUCCUACGGGGAGGCAGCAGUGGGGAAUAUUGCACAAUGGGCGCAAGCCUGAUGCAGCCAUGCCGCGUGUAUGAAGAAGGCCUUCGGGUUGUAAAGUACUUUCAGCGAGGAGGAAGGCAUUGUGGUUAAUAACCGCAGUGAUUGACGUUACUCGCAGAAGAAGCACCGGCUAACUCCGUGCCAGCAGCCGCGGUAAUACGGAGGGUGCAAGCGUUAAUCGGAAUUACUGGGCGUAAAGCGCACGCAGGCGGUCUGUCAAGUCGGAUGUGAAAUCCCCGGGCUCAACCUGGGAACUGCAUUCGAAACUGGCAGGCUAGAGUCUUGUAGAGGGGGGUAGAAUUCCAGGUGUAGCGGUGAAAUGCGUAGAGAUCUGGAGGAAUACCGGUGGCGAAGGCGGCCCCCUGGACAAAGACUGACGCUCAGGUGCGAAAGCGUGGGGAGCAAACAGGACUAGAUACCCUGGUAGUCCACGCCGUAAACGAUGUCGACUUGGAGGUUGUGCCCUUGAGGCGUGGCUUCCGGAGCUAACGCGUAAGUCGACCGCCUGGGA
rnacentral:rRNA from 1 species